UUGAAGAAUGGGUAUCCCAGGUUUUUUGACCUUCCAGUUCAGGACAAAGCGGCUACACGACUUCGAACCACAUUUCGGGGCUACAAGGCAAGAAAGACUGAGACAAAUGAAAAAAUUGUAACGUUCAAGGCCCUGAUACAAAACCAACAGUCAGAAAGCAUCAUCAUCCACUUCAAGAUACCUUCAUUCAUGGGAUAACAUACAGUCUGAGGAGGAAUGGUGUGGUGGGCGUGGGUCUGACACAAUGGAGGAAAUUCGGUCUAGGAUACAACAGGGAGAAGAUGCAUCCAUUAAGCGUCAGUGGGUCAUGACAUAUGCCUUCUCAUAAGGUACACGAGUAUUUU